rnacentral:rRNA from 1 species
UACGGAGGGGGCAAGCGUUGUUCGGAAUUACUGGGCGUAAAGGGCGCGCAGGCGGCUGCUCAAGUCAGGCGUGAAAGGCCUGGGCUCAACCCGGGAAUUGCGCUUGAGACUGGGCUGGCUUGAGUGCGGGAGAGGAUGGUGGAAUUCCCAGUGUAGAGGUGAAAUUCGUAGAUAUUGGGAAGAACACCGGUGGCGAAGGCGGCUCACUGGCCCGUAACUGACGCUCAUGCACGACAGCGUGGGGAUCAAACAGG